UACGGGGGAGCAAGCGUUGUUCGGAUUUACUGGGCGUAAAGGGCGCGUAGGCGGUCGUGACAAGUCACUUGUGAAAUCUCCGGGCUUAACUCGGAACGGUCAAGUGAUACUGUCGGACUAGAGUACAGAAGGGGCAACUGGGAAUUCUCGGUGUAGCGGUGAAAUGCGUAGAUAUCGAGAGGAACACCUGCGGCGAAGGCGGGUUGCUGGGCUGAUACUGACGCUGGAGGCGCGAAAGCCAGGGGAGCGAACGGG
rnacentral:rRNA from 1 species